AAAUCAAAGAACAAAUUGGUCCUUUCUGUUAAAAAUUGACGUGGCUAAUGGAAUAAUCAGACAGUUACAUGUGGUGUGCCAUGUGUACCUCAUGUUGACAUACAAGGACUAGAUUUUAAUAGAAGAAAUGAAUGAUUUUUUAAACA
rfam:Gossypium hirsutum cultivar TM-1 chromosome 7, whole genome shotgun sequence